UUGCAGAUGAUGUGACAUGCAAUGUAUCCCUAUCACCAGUGAGGAUCAAUUUGCGAGCUUUUUAACACUGAUGCAAG
rnacentral:snoRNA from 1 species